GCUAGGUGGACAAUGCAACCUACCACAGCUGCUUCAUCAUCUGAGGUAUGAACCUCACAGGUUAGGAACCCUGACCUGGGAAAUAGUGGACUGUGAUGUUACAGGAGGAGGUCCUACUUUGAUAUGAGUGAUGUCUAAACUGUUUCAGAUGGGUGGGACUAAUGAAAAUGUUUCUUCAUGGCAGCUGCUUCUCUGGAGUGAAUUCUUACCUGGUUAACAGGGCUUUCUGUGUAAUCCCACAAGUACUUACUGAAAACUUGUGUUUGAUCUCAACUCACAAUGGCAAAUAGUGACCUCUUUGAUUAUUGCAAGCAAAUAUUACUUUGAGUCCUUUGAGCAAGGCACAGAAUUGAUCACAUUUUACUUUUUAAAAAGUCAUUCUAUGUGUAGUAAGGGAGUGCACGGUGUUUAAAUCGGGGCUUGUAUUUCUAAAUGUGUUCUGGCUGGGCCUUUCAAUUUCUGCUCGUUCACCAUUUCACUGUAGUAGAUCUCAGCUGUGGUAUCUACUAGGGAACCUGUCUAGCUCAUUACAGUUCUGCUGGAGAGUAUCAACCAUAUUUGUGUUUUACAGGUUUAAAUGUAGUGGAGGCAUUCUGAGAAAAUUAUGCUGCUGCAGUAUGUUCUCCGUCAUCUACUCUGGUAGUAUUGCUCUUGCUGAUGAUGAGGAUGGUAGCAGCAUCUUCAGAGCGUUAUAGCUAUGCUUCCGAAGGGGAUAAAGCUUGGCGAAGAAUCUCUGUUAAACGGAAUGUGGCAAAUUAUUAAGGCUGUCUAUAUGAAAGAUGUAAAGCUAUCUGUGGUGGACAAAGAGGACUUCUUAGCUAAUAAAUUAGAGUAAGAGCUUCAAAAAGGAUUGCACUGUCAUUGUAACGUCAAUUAAUUUCUUCCAAUAUCAUUAACUUUUGAUUAUUGUUUUACUCUUUAUUUAAUGUAUACUUUAUUUCUUAAAUUUUUCUGUCUAUGUGAAGGCCACAGAUGGAAAUAUAUAUACUAAUUAUUUUGUCUCUUGAGGUAUCAAGAGGGAAGGUAUUUCUCCAUAUUGUAACUGUCAGGGUCAGCUGGGGAUAAUUAGCCACCAGCUGCUCUGGAAGUAUACAUGGUUAUACAUGGUUAUACAUGUUCCCCAUCUACCAAAAGUCUUUUGCACUGAAAUAUAUUUUAAAAAAUAAUAAUAAUCUGAACUUAAAUCACACAGAGUGACUUGGCUUACAAUGCUGUAGACUGGUGCCAUAGUUUAAUGACCCAAACAUUUGAAAAGCAACUACAAAGACUGCCCUGGAACGCAGCUGAUCACCUUCAGCUGCCAUGGCCUAGGUUUAUCAGCUGCAAACAGUAAAAAAAGAGCAACAUUCUCAUAGAGAAAUUGAUAUAUAUUUCUUUUUUCAGGAAGCUCAGUCCAUGAAAAAAGUCUCUUCUCUUUCAGAUGUAUGAACUUCUUUGCAAAGUGAUCUGAGGUAUCACUAGUGAGAUUAGCUAACAGCUGCAAAAUGGAACUGUUUUGCUAUGGAUAGGUGAUAACAGAAAAUAUUGCAGUCAGUCAGCAUUAUACUCAUUAGUAAGGUAAGGUCUUUCAAAUGUUGACCCAAGACUAACACUUCAGGUGAUAUGAUGGCAUUUAUUCUGAGAUUACAAACAAAAGUGGUGAUUAAGACAUUGCAGAAAGAAAUGGUAAAUAAAACACUUCAUAAAAUACAAAUGUGUGGUGGAUUUGGUUUCUCUUGGCUUUGUCCUGUUUUUAUUUAGUGUUCAACUGCUUUGCACACCUUCUGUGGCAUCUCUUUUAUCCAGUUGGUAGUUGUCACAUUAGAGCACAAUGCGCAAGUUUUUCAUGGCAAGAUAUAUUUCAUCUAUUUGCUAGCAGGAAUAAUUUGUUUUCAAAU
ensembl:lncRNA